GAUGAAGAACGUAGCAAAAUGCGAUAAGUAAUGUGAAUUGCAGAAUUCAGUGAAUCAUCGAAUCUUUGAACGCACAUUGCGCCCCUUGGUAUUCCAUGGGGCAUGCCUGUUCGAGCGUCAUUUGUACCUUCAAGCUUUGCUUGGUGUUGGGUGUUUGUCUCGCCUUUGCGUGUAGACUCGCCUUAAAAUAAUUGGCAGCCGGCGUAUUGAUUUCGGAGCGCAGUACAUCUCGCGCUUUGCACUCAUAACGACAGCGUCCAAAAGUACAUUUUACACUCUUGACCUCGGAUCAGGUAGGGAUACCCGCUGAACUUAAGCAUAUCAAUAAGCGGAGGA
rnacentral:misc_RNA from 1 species